rnacentral:rRNA from 1 species
GGGUUGUGAGGUUAAGCGACUAAGCGUACACGGUGGAUGCCCUGGCAGUCAGAGGCGAUGAAGGACGUGCUAAUCUGCGAUAAGCGUCGGUAAGGUGAUAUGAACCGUUAUAACCGGCGAUUUCCGAAUGGGGAAACCCAGUGUGUUUCGACACACUAUCAUUAACUGAAUCCAUAGGUUAAUGAGGCGAACCGGGGGAACUGAAACAUCUAAGUACCCCGAGGAAAAGAAAUCAACCGAGAUUCCCCCAGUAGCGGCGAGCGAACGGGGAGGAGCCCAGAGCCUGAAUCAGUGUGUGUGUUAGUGGAAGCGUCUGGAAAGGCGCGCGAUACAGGGUGACAGCCCCGUACACAAAAAUGCACAUGCUGUGAGCUCGAUGAGUAGGGCGGGACACGUGGUAUCCUGUCUGAAUAUGGGGGGACCAUCCUCCAAGGCUAAAUACUCCUGACUGACCGAUAGUGAACCAGUACCGUGAGGGAAAGGCGAAAAGAACCCCGGCGAGGGGAGUGAAAAAGAACCUGAAACCGUGUACGUACAAGCAGUGGGAGCCCUGAUUUAUCAGGGUGACUGCGUACCUUUUGUAUAAUGGGUCAGCGACUUAUAUUCUGUAGCAAGGUUAACCGAAUAGGGGAGCCGGAGGGAAACCGAGUCUUAACUGGGCGUUAAGUUGCAGGGUAUAGACCCGAAACCCGGUGAUCUAGCCAUGGGCAGGUUGAAGGUUGGGUAACACUAACUGGAGGACCGAACCGACUAAUGUUGAAAAAUUAGCGGAUGACUUGUGGCUGGGGGUGAAAGGCCAAUCAAACCGGGAGAUAGCUGGUUCUCCCCGAAAGCUAUUUAGGUAGCGCCUCGUGAAUUCAUCUCCGGGGGUAGAGCACUGUUUCGGCAAGGGGGUCAUCCCGACUUACCAACCCGAUGCAAACUGCGAAUACCGGAGAAUGUUAUCACGGGAGACACACGGCGGGUGCUAACGUCCGUCGUGAAGAGGGAAACAACCCAGACCGCCAGCUAAGGUCCCAAAGUCAUGGUUAAGUGGGAAACGAUGUGGGAAGGCCCAGACAGCCAGGAUGUUGGCUUAGAAGCAGCCACCAUUUAAAGAAAGCGUAAUAGCUCACUGGUCGAGUCGGCCUGCGCGGAAGAUGUAACGGGGCUAAACCAUGCACCGAAGCUGCGGCAGCGACACUGUGUGUUGUUGGGUAGGGGAGCGUUCUGUAAGCCUGUGAAGGUGUGCUGUGAGGCAUGCUGGAGGUAUCAGAAGUGCGAAUGCUGACAUAAGUAACGAUAAAGCGGGUGAAAAGCCCGCUCGCCGGAAGACCAAGGGUUCCUGUCCAACGUUAAUCGGGGCAGGGUGAGUCGACCCCUAAGGCGAGGCCGAAAGGCGUAGUCGAUGGGAAACAGGUUAAUAUUCCUGUACUUGGUGUUACUGCGAAGGGGGGACGGAGAAGGCUAUGUUGGCCGGGCGACGGUUGUCCCGGUUUAAGCGUGUAGGCUGGUUUUCCAGGCAAAUCCGGAGAAUCAAGGCUGAGGCGUGAUGACGAGGCACUACGGUGCUGAAGCAACAAAUGCCCUGCUUCCAGGAAAAGCCUCUAAGCAUCAGGUAACAUCAAAUCGUACCCCAAACCGACACAGGUGGUCAGGUAGAGAAUACCAAGGCGCUUGAGAGAACUCGGGUGAAGGAACUAGGCAAAAUGGUGCCGUAACUUCGGGAGAAGGCACGCUGAUAUGUAGGUGAAGCGACUUGCUCGUGGAGCUGAAAUCAGUCGAAGAUACCAGCUGGCUGCAACUGUUUAUUAAAAACACAGCACUGUGCAAACACGAAAGUGGACGUAUACGGUGUGACGCCUGCCCGGUGCCGGAAGGUUAAUUGAUGGGGUCAGCGCAAGCGAAGCUCUUGAUCGAAGCCCCGGUAAACGGCGGCCGUAACUAUAACGGUCCUAAGGUAGCGAAAUUCCUUGUCGGGUAAGUUCCGACCUGCACGAAUGGCGUAAUGAUGGCCAGGCUGUCUCCACCCGAGACUCAGUGAAAUUGAACUCGCUGUGAAGAUGCAGUGUACCCGCGGCAAGACGGAAAGACCCCGUGAACCUUUACUAUAGCUUGACACUGAACACUGGUCCUUGAUGUGUAGGAUAGGUGGGAGGCUUUGAAGUGU